GACGAACGCUGGCGGCGUGCUUAACACAUGCAAGUCGAGCGGUAAGGCCCUUUCGGGGGUACACGAGCGGCGAACGGGUGAGUAACACGUGGGUGACCUGCCCUUAGCUCUGGGAUAAGCCUGGGAAACUGGGUCUAAUACCGGAUAUGACUCCAUGACGCAUGUUGUGGGGUGGAAAGCCUUGUGCGGCUAGGGAUGGGCCCGCGGCCUAUCAGCUUGUUGGUGGGGUGAUGGCCUACCAAGGCGACGACGGGUAGCCGGCCUGAGAGGGCGACCGGCCACACUGGGACUGAGACACGGCCCAGACUCCUACGGGAGGCAGCAGUGGGGAAUCUUGCGCAAUGGGCGAAAGCCUGACGCAGCGACGCCGCGUGAGGGAUGACGGCCUCGGUUGUAACGUAC
rnacentral:rRNA from 1 species